UCUGUCCCUAGAGGCUUUGCAGGUUUGGCUGCUGUGUUACAUGUGCAACAAUAGGUGGCAGAGAGGAGAGAAGGUAUGUCUAAGCUUAGUGUUCUCACUUGUAAACAUUUGAAAGAUCAGUAGCUUAACAUU